rnacentral:rRNA from 1 species
UACAGAGGUCCCAAGCGUUGUUCGGAUUCACUGGGCGUAAAGGGUGCGUAGGUGGUGAGGUAAGUCGGAUGUGAAAUCUCCGAGCUCAACUCGGAAAUGGCAUUGGAAACUACCUUGCUAGAGGGUUGGAGGGGGGACUGGAAUACUUGGUGUAGCAGUGAAAUGCGUAGAUAUCAGGAGGAACACCGAUGGCGAAGGCAGGUCUCUGGGCCGUAACUGACGCUGAGGAGCGAAAGCGUGGGGAGCGAACAGG